rnacentral:rRNA from 1 species
UACGUAGGGGGCAAGCGUUGUCCGGAAUUAUUGGGCGUAAAGCGCGUGUAGGCGGUCCGGUAAGUCCGCUGUGAAAGUCGGGGGCUCAACCCUCGAAUGCCGGUGGAUACUGUCGGGCUAGAGUGCGGAAGAGGCGAGUGGAAUUCCUGGUGUAGCGGUGAAAUGCGCAGAUAUCAGGAGGAACACCAAUUGCGAAGGCAGCUCGCUGGGACGUUACUGACGCUGAGACGCGAAAGCGUGGGGAGCAAACGGG